rnacentral:tRNA from 1 species
GGAUAGUGGCUUAGUGGUACAGCGCUUGUCUCAUAUGUGUGAGGACCUGGGUUCAAUCCUCAGCACCA